UCACCUAUCUAUUUUUGAUAUAAUCUAAGAGAAAAUCACCAUCGUAAUCUCCUCCCUUUGGUAAGUGUUUCUCCUCCAUUGUCAAAAUGAAAUAUGUGAAUCAAUCUGCUGUAAUAUUUUGUUUCUUUUAAAAUUUGUCUUUGUAAUUUCAAUGGGCUUCAGUUAGAACUCUUCGGCCCAAUAAUAAUAAUAAAAUUGUAUGCG
rnacentral:lncRNA from 1 species